rnacentral:rRNA from 1 species
GAUGAACGCUGGCGGCGUGCCUAAUACAUGCAAGUCGAGCGAACAGACGAGGAGCUUGCUCCUCUGACGUUAGCGGCGGACGGGUGAGUAACACGUGGAUAACCUACCUAUAAGACUGGGAUAACUUCGGGAAACCGGAGCUAAUACCGGAUAAUAUAUUGAACCGCAUGGUUCAAUAGUGAAAGACGGUUUUGCUGUCACUUAUAGAUGGAUCCGCGCCGCAUUAGCUAGUUGGUAAGGUAACGGCUUACCAAGGCGACGAUGCGUAGCCGACCUGAGAGGGUGAUCGGCCGCACUGGAACUGAGACACGGUCCAGACGCCUACGGGAGGCAGCAGUAGGGAAUCUUCCGCAAUGGGCGGAAGCCUGACGGAGCAACGCCGCGUGAGUGAUGAAGGUCUUCGGAUCGUAAAACUCUGUUAUUAGGGAAGAACAAAUGUGUAAGUAACUAUGCACGUCUUGACGGUACCUAAUCAGAAAGCCACGGCUAACUACGUG